UACGGGGGGGGCAAGCGUUGUUCGGAAUCACUGGGCGUAAAGCGCGUGUAGGCGGCCCAUUAAGUCUGAUGUGAAAGCCCGGGGCUCACCCCCGGAAGUGCAUUGGAAACUGAUGGACUCGAAUCCCGGAGAGGAGAGUGGAAUUCCUGGUGUAGCGGUGAAAUGCGUAGAUAUCAGGAAGAACACCCGUGGCUAAGGCGGCUCUCUAGUACGGUACUGACGCUGAGACGCGAAAGCGUGGGGAGCGAACAGG
rnacentral:rRNA from 1 species